rnacentral:tRNA from 1 species
GGUGAUAUAGUUCAAUAUGCUAGGGCACAGGACUUGCAUACUUGAGGGCCCAGUUCCAAUCCUUGGUACCACCA